rnacentral:rRNA from 1 species
CCCUUAGACGUUCUGGGCCGCACGCGCGCUACACUGACCAGUGCAACAAGCAUCCGUCCUUGGCCGACAGGCUCGGGCAAUCUUUGAACGCUGGUCGUGAUGGGGAUAGACUUUUGCAAUUUUUGGUCUUCAACGAGGAAUUCCUAGUAAACGCAAGUCAUCAACUUGCAUUGAUUACGUCCCUGCCCUUUGUACACACCGCCCGUUGCACCUACCGAUUGAAUGGUCCGGUGAAGCCUCCGGAUUGGCGCGCACCUCGGUGCCGCCGAGAAGUUGGCUAAACCUUACCAUUUAGAGGAAGGUGAAGUCGUAACA